GUCCUCGCUUUGGCAUCACAUGUACUAAACUUGGACCACUACACAGAAGAUUAGCAAGGCCCCCAUGCAAAGAUGAUAUACAAAUUUAUUAUGCAUUCCUUUUUUAA
ensembl:snRNA U6 U6 spliceosomal RNA